AUUCUGGGAUUUAGAUGCAUUUGAGUUGUGAUUUUUGAGCCUUAAUAUGCGUUUUUACCCAUUGUUUGGUUGGGGUUCGAAAUCUAAGAAAAGUUGGCAUGUUUAGGCCUUAAAAAUGGAGUUUUGGGGUGUUCUGAACCCAGUCGUCGCGACGGGAUUUUUGGCUGUCGCGACUGGGUUUGGCAGUGAGAAAUUUUGUUUUUCUCAAUUUUGUUUUGGCCAUAACUUUUGACUCGGGACUCCGUUUGGGAUGUUCUUUAUAUCGUUGGAAAGCUCGUUCCGAGCUCUAUUUGAUUAUCUGUGUUUUGAAUGCCAUGUUUAUAUUUUGUGAAAGUGAAAUUGGGGAUUAACCCUAUUUGUGAAAUCCCGGAUUGUGUGACUAGGAUUACCGGCACCUGAUCAGGAGCACCCAGGGGUUUGGAAUCUCUGUUAUUGCGGGACAACAGGAAAGGGUAAGUCAGUGGCUGAUCAACCAUGAGUUUGAGGAGCAAGACGAAGAAUGUACAUGUUCAAGCCAUAUCAGACCAAGCGGGUUAAGGGUCUAUCAGUGAUGAACUUUUGAAUUCUAUUUUGCCGUUUAGGUCGGCUAGAAAGAAAUGACUUGUAAUAGCGUUUGUAAAUAUUUUUGGGAUCCCAACUAUUUUAAAAGUUUAAAUAUAUUACAAGUUUAUUUUCA